CUCAGCUCUAGAGACCGCUUGCUGGCGUCGCCGUUGCCGCCUCUCCCUCACAGCAUCCCGUUUCUUCUGACGCGCUGAGGAAAACAACGACAACAACAACGAUACAUCCCCAACCCGCAGAGCAAGGACAUGCACAAUGCUGGUUUUUAUCUCUCUGUUAAAACAAAUAAGAAUAAAAAUCAGAACCGAAGAAAAUGCUUGCAGACUUCUCUGUCAGUUCUGUAGCCAUUUACAGACCACCACCACCAAGGGCACCUCGGUGAGAAGGGUGAAACAUCCCCGCCUUGUAAUUGUACCACAGUUGUGAAAAUAAAACUCAUUUCCAAACAUUUCCCUAAGAUGCUGAAAAGCCUGGACCGCCAAAGCAAAAUGCACCAAGACCCCAGCAUUUCAUCUAGCUGUCUAAAAUAUUAAACUUUUCAUAUAUGCGGGAUUGGAAUGUGUUCUUCUCCAAGUGCACUUCAGAGCGCUCGCCCCACAUCAGCAACGGUAGUUCCGGCAUACUGCAAUUUCCCGAUCCCCACGGGAAUGCCUGCAAGGAUUCCAUCUGAAGGUUUAGGCGACAUCCAAAGUUAGUGGGCGCUUCAGCAGCUGAUGUAGAAAUGAUGCUCAGCUCCCCGGCCAUCUUCUCCAGACCGUGCCUCUAAUAAGAACAGUACACUUGCAUGCGUUCCUGAACUACAAUGGGACAGGCCAGUGAUUAAAGUAGUGAAGCAUAGCGCAGUAUCUCUCUGGUAACAUACAUUGUGUAUGGAAUGGAGCGUAAAGGGAAAUGAGAUGAACUUUGUACAGCUCACCUUAAUUAAGUCGUGUCCCAGUGGAAAUUAAUGUGAAUGUUAAUAGCAUGUAUAUACAUUGUCUGAGCUUUCUCUCAGUGCCCACUUCAAGCCACAUGCACUGUCCCGGGUCUGUCAGUUCCGGGUGUUCACACACAUUCUCCUUUUCAUCCAGCUGGCCGUCACUUUGUAUCUUGCAAGUGGUUAACAGCAAAUUCUAUGGACAAUAAGAGUUACAUCUUAGCACCUUUCCAAACAUCUGCCGGCCAGCACACGAUGCUUCAGCCCGACCACAGGCUUCUGAAUUUCACGCUAUUUCAGGGGGUUCCACUGUGUUUUGUUAAAUUAAGACUGUGGAGUACCAUGUUUUUGCCGGCCCCUAGUUUUACUUUGGUUUGUAGCCCCCCUGAGCAGUGAAGGUCUGCACGUUUGUUCCUUAUUUUUCUUAUUAUCUUAAAAAGACUUAUUUUUCUUAAUAAAUAAACAAAUAAAUAAUUUUUUCCCCCCUUUUUCUUUUGUUCGGAAUUGGGGCGAUGGAAAGCAGAGCGGAGACGCACCCAGCGGAGGCCCCUGGAAACCGUUAAGGCCGGGGACGUUCUUCGGAGGGGAGACGCUCUAUCGCGCCGGUCGCGUCGGAUGCAAAGCGACCCGUUUGAAUUGGCACAAUUACUUAACUUAUCGAUGAAUCCCACAGUGCGGCGAGAAGGAAAAGCGCGUAACAAACUGUACUUUAAAGUGUAAUUUAAGUCCCUAAUUCAGAUCCGGAGUCCGCACGUCAAACUGUCAGAGCCCCGGGCCGUCCCUAACGAGGCCGGCUGCGCUAAGGAGGCAACGACUCCCAGGUGCCGCGGGGCCGCGGCCGGCCGGGCGCAGCUGCGCCUCGUCGGGAGCCGCGGGCGGGGCCCGCCCCAAAGCCUCUUAAGCUCCUCCGGAGGCUGCCGGGAGCCACGGGGGAGUUUCUGCGGUUCUGUAUGGGAGACGGAGUGAGUUCUGUUUCUUUGUCGGGCCCUGGUGCUGCUGAGGCUGAGAAGCGGCUGCUGUGAGCCCUUUUGCGGUAAGGACCAGCCCAAACAGGCUGAGCGAGGGCUGUAGCAGAGCCUCUCAUCGGCCCGAAGCAGUGAGCUCGUGGAAGCGGUGAGUGUUUGAGAGUCGCUCGGUAAGAUCUCCCCUGCUGGGGCUCCUGUAGGGUUGCUGCCCGACUGCCUCCGUGUCUUUGGGAUCGGCACGGCGCCGCCGCUGGGGGCUCCCGCGUGGCUUUUUAGUAGGACCGGCACGGGGCCUCCGCCCGAGACCGAGCACGAUCCCGGGGUGGCCUCGGCCACUGCGGAGUGUUUUGCGGGUGCUCUCACCCAUCCCGUUUCCAGCGGUGGGAGCGAGCAGGAAAGGCAGACCGGUCAGGCGGUGGAGUCUCUUUUCGAGGGAGAGAACGGGAACGUAUCGAGCUCCACCUAGGGAUGACUGAAGAACCAGCGGAGCGUUUGUGCGUGAGGCUGAAGAGGCAGGUGACGAAGGAGGCAUUGAGGAGAGGGGCUGCUGGAGCUCCCUAUUGCAGAAGAGCCAUCUGGGGACAGGAAGGCCAGGGGCAGCCUGGAGCGUGCCAGUCGUGAGACCACAGCGUUUGGGAUCUUGUGUGGAAGCUGCAAAGCAAUGAGUAGGAUUGAAACACUGGACUUAGAGGGAGCCAGGUUUGUCCUCUUGAAGGGCCUACUUGGAGGUAACCCUUGCUCAAGCAUAGGAAGGGGUCCUGUGAAUGCUGGAGCAUUACUUCGUCCAUGCUGAGGUGCGCUGCGUCCCAAGGAGGAAGGAAGUGCGCAGGAAUGGUGGGGGACCUGCAGGGCUGACUGAGGAACUUGAAGGGGAGAAGGAAGAGAGAGGCUGAGGAAGGCCAAGUCCCUCUGAGUAUCAGCUUUGGGAGGGAGGUCAAGGCUAAUGGAAGUUUGUCAACAGGAGAGACUGGAGAAAUUGCAGGCCUGUGCUUCACAAGGCAAGGGCCUGAGUAAUGGAGGAUGUGUUGGAUGCCUGUUUUGGUUUCAGUGGUCUCUGCUGAGAGUGCUCCUGGGCAACCUGGGGUCCUGGAGGAGAGAGUCUCAGAGGAAGGUUGCCUUCCCCUCAGUUGCAGAGGAGCUGGUCAAAAGUGGUUCAGGCAGAAAGGAGGCCAGCAAAUGCCUGAGCUGUAGAGGGCUAUGCCUGUGCCCGCUGAGAGCUGGCAGCGGUGACCGGCAAAUGGCGCUCUCUGUCACUUUUCCCUGCUGUUUCCUGUGGGGAAAGGUACCUGAAGACUGGAGGAUGGCGGAUGCCACCGCAGCCUUCAGAAAGGGUGUGGAGGAUGGCGUGUGCAACUUGGAGGUAGGUUGGCCUCACCUCUGUUCCUGGGGAGGUGACGUAACAGCUUGUUGCAGGUGUCAUUGCCAUGUGACCGGAAGAGAAGGAAUUUGCAAGGAGCAGUCCAGGUGGAUGGACAGAGGGGAAGUCAUGCCGGACCAAAAGGGCGAGGGCUGCAGCGGAGAGCUUUGCCGAGAGGGUUGGCUGGAGCAGGUGUGCAGUUUCCCCAGCAGUGGGAUGAAGGAGGUGAGAGAGGGGGAGCCCCAGGUGGGAGCCCUCCUGGCGGAGGGCUGCCCCCAGGCGUGCCCCCUUGGAGGUGGUUUGUGGAGGUCUCUGUGCAGGUUCAGGCUGGAGGAAGGAUCCUGGUGGUGUGAGCAGGGUGCCUCUGUGGAGAGCAAGGGUGGAAGGUGCGUGGCAGGCCCUGUCCUGGAGGAGUGGAGUUGAUAGAGUGUGGCCUUCCAUGCUGGAGUGAGGGGUCCUGGUGGGGCUGAAGUCCUGUGUGGAAGAGGGAGAUCCCAGGCGCUGCGAUGCGGAGGAGGAGCGGAGCCAGCGGUGGCUCCUGUGUGGUGAUGGCUGCUUAGUGGUGGUGUUCCUGGUCCUGGGCUGAAAGGAGGAGGAGGAGAAAGCUUUUAGUGUGUUACUUCAAAGCUCAGGCUUGGAUGACCUUGCUGAGGCUGAACAAGAGUACAAAACCUGUGAGUUAAAUGGGUGGAACAAAACUACAGCUGCUGCACCUUACCGGGCCGAGAGUCGUGACCUGAUCUUCCAUCUUUUACACAAAACGAGUCAGAUCUUCAGCUUGCUGCCACGAGUAACUCACACAUUCUCCAAUUCCUCGUAUGGAAAGAAGGCUUUCUUCUAAGGGAUUAUUCCAAUGCGUAAAAUCGGUGAAUUCACCUGUACAGUAAUGAAAUACUUUCAAUAAUUUCAUGCAAAACUUUCUUUAAGCAGUGCCUUGGGCCAAUCUUUCCAUGUGAGAGCUGCAUGAGUAAAAGUUCUCCUUUCGGUCCAUUUCUGACUUAUUUUUUAUAAUUUAGUUUAAAAGUUCAAGUCAUCCAACCAAAGCUGUGACAACAGGAAUAACAGGCUCGUGGUAUAACAGCAGUAGGAUUUAGGCACCUGUGGAGGGAGAAACACUGAAGAUUUCACCGUGGGUUCAGGGUGGGCCAAACAUUAAAAUCCCUUUCUUGGUUUAAGAUCAGAAUGCACCUUUGUGGGAUUCAUUUCUUCCUUACAUCUCAGUAACCAAGUAUGCAUUGAGUGACCUACACCUUUAAGGGGGAAAAUGGUCUCAGUCAAGCGCUGGAUGAAUAUAAAUAGUAAUAAUAAAAGCCUAUCAGUAAGGAAAAGCUGAGCAUUCUUUUUGAAUGCAAACAUAAUAAUUAAUAAUAAUCAUAAUCAUAAUCUGUGGCACAGGACCCAAAGAGACCUUUUCCUCACAGUUUCACACAGCAGUUCUCUCAUCAGCUCUGAAACCAUCUACCUCUGCAACUCAGAAAGCUUUCUUUUUUUCUUUUCCUGAAAGUUCAAGGAUACGUUAUCCAUUUUCUGGGCAAGUUUAGAACUUUGGGUCUCACUUCUGCAUACACGGAUUCUUCUCUAAAGUCACUAAGACAGAACAAAACCCGAGACCCUCUUUGGACUGCAAAUCCAGAAGCAUUCGACCCUGCGGUUCUGCCAAGCAGUGUGAAACACCGUAUUUGUAUCCGCCUCACGCAGCUCCCGCCCGAGUUUUUUCUCCGCGCUGAGCAUCAGUCUGCAGUCCUCGGUAAUUCCGGUAGAGGGCAAUACAAUAAAGCCAUUCAUAGAGGGCUCUCCGAGGCAGCUGCCGUAACUGGCUCCCACAGAACGCCUCAGGCUUUCUUCUUGUUCUGGAUUGGUGUGCUAAUGCCAAAUAUUUACAAUUGAAUCUUUUUUUGAUCCCGGGAACGCUCAUACUGCUUAUUUCUUCUUUGACAGCACAAACGCACGGGCGCGUUCUCAGUGCCUGAAAACAUCUCUAUGCAAAAAUCAAGAUAUAACUCUCUUUGCUACCACUUUUUUUUUUUGUCUCAUCCUCAGCCAUCCGUUUGAAUGUAAACGUUACAGUAUACCUCACAUCCGUAAGGAGUCUUUACAUUCAGGUGUAGUUUUAAAAAGUCUCAUAGGAACCUCUUGCAGUCGAUUAAUGGGCACAUCGGAAGCAAAUCAACUGGAAGUACGGGAUGAGUGUUAUUUAAUUCUCCCUAGGGCUUUGCUAUUCACACACUCCUCUGUGCAGGUAGAUAUUCACGUGCGUAUGAAAGGAAAACUCACCUUCAAGGCGUAACAAAGGGAAACCCGCACUGGGAUCAUUCGUAGGAAAGCAUCAUUUCACAGUACAUAGGUUUAUGGAUUGUGAGAGAUAGUGAUGCAUUUGUAAGGAUGAUCCCUACGAUAAGGUUCUGUGGUUUUAUUUUCUCAAGUCUAGACGUAUUUAGUCAAUAAUGAUUUCUUCAAAAGAUAGCCACAUCUCCAAGACAAGAACAGAACGGCCACGUGGCAGAUUUCACACAACCUCACAACAGUACCAUGAACUAUACGGGAGUUUCAUAAUUCAUGAAGGAACAAUAUUCCCUCCCGGGCACUAAAACUAGUCCAGAUAACACCAAGAACAGCUGAAAAGCCGGACAGUGUGAUUUCCCCUCUCCUCAAGUAUAGAGAGACACAAGUAUGAAACAGCUGGAAAACAUAUUCAAAGGAUGACAGGCACCACGUCACAGCAGAAGUGCCAGGUAAGCUCAGCGCAAAACAGUCCCUUUACUUCUUUCAUUCUUUCUUUCAUUUGUAACCAGAUUCAUGAGUGGAUGGAAAUGCUUGACAAAGUGAUAAUGAAUCUCUCUGAACGUUUACAUGGUUCCCAUCAGUGCAAAGACUCACCCAGUGCUAAAAGUAAUUCACUACAGUGUGUAAAAAAAAUAAACAAAUCAUUCUCCUUUUCACUG
ensembl:lncRNA